rnacentral:rRNA from 1 species
UACGUAGGGACCAAGCGUUGUUCGGAUUUACUGGGCGUAAAGGGCGCGUAGGCGGCUUAACAAGUCACUUGUGAAAUCUCCGGGCUUAACCCAGAACGGCCAAGUGAAACUGUCGUGCUAGAGUGCGGAAGGGGCAAUCGGAAUUCUCGGUGUAGCGGUGAAAUGCGUAGAUAUCAGGAGGAACACCUGCGGUGUAGACGGCUUACUGGACCAUAACUGACGCUGAGGCACGAAAGCGUGGGUAGCAAACAGG